AGAGAAGAGAGGGGUUCGGCCAAACAUGGCUAUAAGGAGAGGUGAUCAAAAAAUUAUUUUCUUCCACUUUUCCUACCUAAUGGAAGGUCCCCUACAACUUGGAGUAAGUGUUGAAGCAAGUAGAAGCCUUUGUGGUGUCAUGUACCAACCCUACACCAAGAGGGAAGUUGAAGAAAAAGAUUUUGGCGAAUUUGCAACUUGAAUUUGGAGAAGCAAAAGGGAGCGGAAAAGGUACACCAGAUGAGCCACAUCUAACAUAGAAGAUGUUCCAGCGGAGUUGGCAGGCCCCACUUGUUCUGGAGUGCUGCCGAGUCAGAGUAUCUGAGCCAUGAUGUCUGUUUGAUGUUAGAGGCUUUGCAAACAGAGUCAUGAGUAUAGAGUGUCAGCUUGGUAGACGACUUCACCAGUCAAAAUGUUAUUACGUUUCAUGUCGCGGGCCCCAUAUGCUAAUAGUCAUUACUUAUGAAAAAAAAAAUUGGAGAGCUUACUAUGUAUUUAUUUCUUAAUUGAUACAAGAGUUUAUCUAUGUAAUAAGAGUCAGCGGGUUCGCUCGGCUCCAGAUAUGGGGUCGGGUGCCCAUCACACCCUAGUAAAGUCGGGGUG